CAGUAGCCGCGGGAAUACGUAGGGUGCGAGCGUUAAUCGGAAUUACUGGGCGUAAAGCGUGCGCAGGCGGUUAUAUAAGACAGAUGUGAAAUCCCCGGGCUCAACCUGGGACCUGCAUUUGUGACUGUAUAGCUAGAGUACGGUAGAGGGGGAUGGAACUCCGCGUGUAGCAGUGAAAUGCGUAGAUAUGCGGAGGAACACCGAUGGCGAAGGCAAUCCCCUGGACCUGUACUGACGCUCAUGCACGAAAGCGUGGGGAGCAGACAGGAUUAGAUACCCCUGUAGUCCCUGUCUCUUAUAC
rnacentral:rRNA from 1 species